GAGACACCUGGACUUUGGUGCUACAAAGGAAUAAAGCAGAGAAAAUGAUUUUGCUCAUCGCACUGAUGUACCGCGAGCCAUCUGGUUCUGUGAUCUUCAGUUUGGUGAGAGGUGGCAUGACACCGCUGGUGAAGUAUCUGAAUGCAGGGCUGGGUGACUGGAUGGCAUCCAGAAAUACCUUGGAGACAACAACAAACACCACAGCAGAAGAAGUUAUUAAUUCACCUGAAAGCCCUCCAGUGCUGCCAGUGACCAGAACGCGGCCCUUGCCCUGAGCCUUCAUGUCCGGUAGGAAAGCCUGGAUGGUCUGAAUGGUACCAAGGAGGUUGACCUCCAGAAUCUGCCUCAUUGAGUCCAAGGACUGGACCUCCAGUGGACCCAUCAAACCCACACCAGCAUUGCACACUGUGCAGGAGGCGGAGAAUGCCAGGCACUCCAUGCAUCAGUACCUCACCUAUGAUGUGGUGAAGUGAAGGGAUGGGUGGUGUGUCAGGGCAUGGCAAGUGACUCAGCCAUGCUGGUAUUUACCCAAUAUCAUAUAAAACACUGAUGAAAUCAGUGACGCCCUCCACCCACCACCUGGUUACCUGGAUACCCUCUGUUUACAGCUGGGUCUGGACACACUGUAACUAAGUGUGUAGACAUAACAUGAUACAUUGUGUUAGUAUGCAUGAGAGUAGUGUGGCAAGACUUCCCACAAACAUAAACGCCACACAUUACACACCCUUUUUUAAGAAACUGCGAACAUAUUAUAUUUGCAUUUCGCAGUCAUAUGUAAACCCUUCCUCUCUUUCCUAAGCUCUUUCCUGUGUUCUCAUGUGCAAAUGCUUACCAACCCCACUUCCUCUGGGUAUCAAAUGCAUACAGUUCACACAAAAGAAAUGAACGUGCUCUGCAGUUGAGUUAUGCAGCGCCUAGACCUGAAUAAUGAAGUCUUAUCCUGACAUUUGUCUUAGCGUCUGCAUUGUUGCCAUUUUCUUUUGUUUUCUGCUUGUCGAGGAUACCCCACCUAUUUUAUUAGCUUGCAUAAGCUUGCUGUAAAAGGGAAGCUACAGUGAUACCUUGGCAGAUAGUCUGUCAGUGAACUCAGCCCAUUUUACCAGCCCAGUUGCAUAAUCGCCAACUCGACUUUCAGUUCCCAGGAGCCAAGAACACAAUGACAUAAACUCUUACACCUGUGGCAUGUAAACCUGCUGAAUGCCUAACAUCUUGAGCACAUUUUCUUCCCCUGUUCUCUAAUUGACGCGUUUAGAAGAUCAUAUUUCCUCUGCACCCUUUGUCGUCUGUUCUCGGCACAGGCCCAGCGCGUCCCACACUCUCACAGUUGAGGUUAAUCCUUGUCAUUACCUCAACAAAUACUUCUCUCACAAGCCUGAAUAGAAAGAAAUGUCACCAGUUUUCAUUUCUAACAUACCUGUUCUGGUUUGUCAUUAUGUUUUGUUUUUUUCCAACACUGUGGUAUUCUCAUUGGUUAAUUCCUCAACGGUUUUUCCCAUGCAACAUUUGAAUUGAAACAGAGAUUCCCUUGCCCUGCAAUAAAAACUAAGACAAAACUCCA